AAACAUUUUAUAACCACCAUAUAUAUUAUAUAAUAAAUUCAAUAAUUAUUUUCAUUCAUAUUUUUUAAAAACCGUGCAGUAUUCCAAAUUGUCGCGUAUUGUGUGCAAGUUUGAGAAACCGCGGAACACCAAAAUUUCGUCACCAGAAGCGUCACUGCGGAGUCGCUAGUUUCGUGAAACGUAUUGUUUGUAAGCAUAAUGCUGGAU